AAUUGCUGCUCGGUGGCAUCGCCUUCGGAUGUGCUCGACACCACCAGCGGGAGCCGGGGAGGUAGUGCGCCACCCGGGAGCAGACAGCUUGGAAAUGGAUCGUCUCCACCGCCGGCGACAUCGUCGGCUGAAAGGAGAAGCUCGAGGAUCCGUUCCUGGUACUUGGAGGAUUGAACAGAGUAAUUUAGUGAUCAAUUUGUGAUGAUGAUCGUGCAGUAAAGAGUUGCGAGCCAGAGUUUCUGAUAUCUUCUUGAACUUGUCUUUAAAAGCUAUCGACAUAUCGGGCGUUUCGAUGGUGGUCAUUGAUGGACUGAAAUGUUUCAUGGACCUUAAUCUUCCAUUACAGACGACAUUCUUAGCGGAAGUUCCUCUUGCCAAAUCCUUGACUGGGGUUCUCAAAAUCUGUGGUCAGGUGCUGCCUGAAUUUCUUUAAAAUUUACAAUCCUCGUAGCAGGAUUGGCUUUUACUUGUUAACUGUCAUAUUAUAACAUCACUCAUGCUCUUCUUGUCACCAAGCAGAUUUGUCACUGCUGUAAGUUUUGACUGUUUUGUGUUCCUUUUCAUCUAAUUCUCAUGUGUCUUCAUUAAUGAUACACUUUUCGUUGGAGUAGUUCUUAACUUCUUGUUUUGAAAAUGCAGUUAAGUACUUUGCCUGUAAGAAGUUAUACUCAAUGCAUCCAAUGUUGUCAGACGAAGAAGUUACAGUAACAAGGUGCAGACUGCUAAAGUCACCGACUUCUAUGAUUGUGAUCCAGCAAAUCCUGGACAGCCCUUUGCACCAUUCCUCUUUUUCAAGCGAAGCAAAAAAAGACAAUGAUCCAAGCAAAGAUAUUCCUUCUCAUCUCCAUCUUCGGAGACGAAUAAACAUGGACACUUGAUGCAGAAGCCUGUCUUGGAGAAACAUCUCUGAUGGAUGGACGAGGCAAUUCAGCAGAGCCCUUCUUUGUCAUGACUACCAUAUCUGUCUCUCUGCACAACUCAGAUCUUCUCCACAGGUAACUAAAAUAGUUAAGAGCACAUGAUUAAGCAUGCAUUAAACUAGUCAAGUACCCUCCUUUUGGCAGCAAGCUCGAUCGAGCUUAUCGUAAUCCCUGUGCAAAGGUAGUUCAGGCCAAAAACAGAUACAUUGAUUAAUUGGGUUAGCACAAGUAUUAAAUUUGCAAGUUGACACUUAAAGAGGGGCGAUGAUGCAUCGCAUCUCUUGCAAGCUUGCCUCCAUGGCCAUCCAAGCCUGUCAGCGUCACUGAUUAUACUAAUUAAGCAUGCAGUGUAAUCAUGCUUUCAUGCUCCAUUUGUUUUGUUGUUUGUGUUGAUUGAUUGGUGUGCGAGAGUCCUAUUUUUUCAUGAAAAACUUUGUGCCCGCUCCUUUUCCUUCGAUUUGGAGAUCGGCCAAGUUCGCCUUUUUAUUAUGAGGCGUGGAGAAUGUCGUGUUAAAAAAUACUGUAUGCAAGGACAUAGGGCAGAGGAAUACCUGCUUAUAAAAUACGGCUUAUGAAAAGAGUAGCCUAUCAGUUUGUCA